UCAGUAAUCAUGUUUUAUUUCUGGCAGCAAGUGAUGAUGGCAAAGACUACCUACGUUUCUUUGACACACAUUUUCUGUUUGGGUGCGAGGAGCUGUCACAGUGUGUUUGGCCAAAAACACUGAGCCAAGUGCUUUGCCAACAUUUGUGUAGAAAAGUAGGCUCCGUAUAAACGGAUGUUCAUUAACAUCAGAAAGACGGUGGGUGGUGGUUGGCAGUCCCCAGCUGACUUUGGCUUUUCUCUGGACUGGAAACUGAGCAGCUCUCCAAAGGAAGAAACACAUGAAGGGUUUCUCUUUCAGCAGGACCUCCUCAAUGUUCUGUUAAACAGCAGCUGGUUAAACCAGCCCAGGUGGUUUCAGAAAAGUCAGAUGGACUAACAGCUCCUUUAUCCAGUUCCAGGUCUUUGUGUCAAUCCAACGUUUACAAGGUGGCUUUUUCCACUGGCUCCUCACACUUCAAAGCAACAACAACCAUCCUGUGCACCCACUCACAGGUCUGUGGCUGAACUAAUGGACCAUCCAGAGCCUCUGCGUAGGAGCCAGUGCUGUAAUUUCAGACACACCACAUACAGGCAAUGACGCAAAUAAAUGAGAUUUUGUUAAAUCACACUAAAGGUGAGUUGUAUCACAGUUAAAAUGUGUGAUAUGAUGUGUGAGUUAAGUGUGCUCUUGCUUUCAUUCAUUUGCAAAUAAAUAAAGAUUCUGAAACAGCCGAAUGCACGUCUCAUAAUAGGAUUUAUCAAUGAGCUUUUUCAGUGUCAUCUAGUGGACAUUAAAAGGACAGCCUCUGCAUGAUUUGACUUUUUCUCGUUGUUACUUUCAGGGGUGGAUUAAGUAUUCAGUUCCUUUACUUAAAGUAAAAGUACUAAUAUCAUAUUGUAAAAAAUCUGUUACAAGUAAAAGUCCUGGAUUGAAAAUGUUAGGCUACUUACGUAAAACUAUGUGAGUAAUAUCUGGAAAAUGUACUUAAUUCUUUUAAGUACAUGAAGUCCUCCUUCACAGUGCUUGUUUUGUCAACCAAUAGUUCAAACUUGAAAAUUAAAAACAUUCAUUGUUUCAUCUGUAUUUGCAUAUUUUGAAAUGUUUUGUGUGCACAAAUCUUAAAUUUUAAAGUAACUAAAGCUAUCAAAUACUUGUAGUGAAGUAAAACGUACAUGAUUUUCCUCUAAAAUAUAGUGGAGUAGAGGUAGAAAGUGUUAUAAGAAGAAAAUACUCAAGUACUACAUCUUUGUUAAAAUAUUGCUAAUGAUAGUUAAAACCGGUGUCCGUUCCUCACCUCACAAAAGUGAGUUUGUGUGGCCGAUGUCUACUUGUGCGUGUCCCAGGACAGGACAUGUUUCAGCAUCUCCCCUCGUCCUCCACAUCUUUGCUGGCCACAUCAUCUAAAGUCACGAUGUCCAAUAUCUCCUGCAAAGCUCUGUGAGGAAUGUGUGGAUGUCUCUCACUGGCAUCUGUUACACUAAAAAAGAUGACAAUUUUUGAAAUGAACGAAAACAGUCAUUCAGCUGAAAACCACCUGUAUCUUUAUCUCAAAUGUCCUUUACCAUCGACAUCAGUGGACACAUUAUUAAAAUCUCAGACUAUAUUCAGCCUCA